CGUUACAAUAACCAUUGUUGACAAUGACAAUCUAAACCCUUAUUUUGAUCACAUCCUCUACAAGGCAACCAUUAAGGAAAAUGAGAUCGGACAUUUCUCAGACGUCACUCCUGAGGCUAUAAAAGCGCAAGAUGGCGACACGGGCAUCAACGAGCCUGUAGUUUACAGCCUAACAACAGUUCUUCCAAAUGAAUAUCAGAGCAUCUUUGAUAUCAACCGAGACAGUGGAGUCAUUUCUGUGUCAACAGCCCUGGACAGAGAGGAGAUUGACCAGAUAACCCUGUACAUACAGGCAGCUCAGCAGAAUGAUUCCAGUAAGACGGCCAACGCGGUGGUAUCUGUUAUUAUUGAGGAUGUAGAUGACAACUCACCCAAAUUUGACCAGGAAGAGUACAUCAUAUCUAUUCCAGAAAAUUC